rnacentral:misc_RNA from 1 species
GGCCGUUGCUGGCAAACGAAGCCAAUUGACUAAAUCAAACCAGGAACAUUUCCAAGUUCAAAGAUCUAAGACUGUUAAUCCACAAAGAAAUUGUAGAACGAUGAAAAGUUGCACUGAAUAGCAUACAUUACAAAAUUACAAGAGGACGAGAGAAAGGGCUGGCACACCAGUUAGGGCUAGUACGAGAAACAUCUCUUUCUUACUUAAAUUUACCUUUCCUCUCAAUUUAAGAAAAGAUGCGAACUCUUCUUUGGACCUCCUUUAAAGCCAAACUAGUGGGACUUCUUGAAAAUGCCUACUUUAAUAUAUUAUCACAUUCAUAUCUAGUCCCUCUUUCUUCUCUCUCUCUUUCAUUUGACCUAUAAACUUUACUCAUUUUACUAAAUUUAAAAAAGAAAUGGCAGCACAAGCAUUUCAGACCUUUACAGUUCAACUCCACAAUAAUACCAUUACCAUAUAAAACUUCGAUACCCAUUAUCUAUCAAUCUAAAUUCAGAGUAGGUGAACCUUGAGUAUAGUAUUUUGAGCUAGUGUUUAUCCCAUAUCAAGAAUAAUCAAGUUAAAUAUUUUAAGUUAUAAGAGAAUGUUUUUGAACAUAUACUAAGAAAGAUAAAUACACAAAUUACGCAUGA